rnacentral:rRNA from 1 species
UACGAAGGGGGCUAGCGUUGCUCGGAAUCACUGGGCGUAAAGGGUGCGUAGGCGGGUCUUUAAGUCAGAGGUGAAAUCCUGGAGCUCAACUCCAGAACUGCCUUUGAUACUGAAGAUCUUGAGUUCGGGAGAGGUGAGUGGAACUGCGAGUGUAGAGGUGAAGUUCGUAGAUAUUCGCAAGAACACCAGUGGCGAAGGCGGCUCACUGGCCCGAUACUGACGCUGAGGCACGAAAGCGUGGGGAGCAAACAGGG